rnacentral:tRNA from 1 species
GGUCAGGUAGCUCAGUGGUCUAGAGCAGUCGUCCAGCAAACGAAAGACCCGGGUUCGAUUCCCGGUCUAGCGA